UUUGCGUGCGGGUAGUUAAGGCUACGCCGUAUACUUCGCGGAAUCGAAUUAACGUUUAAGCGAUCUUUCAAGAUAGCCGACCGCGAGGGAAAGAGCCGCGAAAGCGGCUUUUUUAUUGUUCAAA
rnacentral:sRNA from 12 species